rnacentral:rRNA from 1 species
UACGUAGGGUGCGAGCGUUGUCCGGAAUUAUUGGGCGUAAAGAGCUCGUAGGCGGUUUGUCGCGUCUGCUGUGAAAACUGGAGGCUCAACCUCCAGCCUGCAGUGGGUACGGGCAAACUAGAGUGCGGUAGGGGAGAUUGGAAUUCCUGGUGUAGCGGUGGAAUGCGCAGAUAUCAGGAGGAACACCGAUGGCGAAGGCAGGUCUCUGGGCCAUAACUGACGCUGAGAAGCGAAAGCGUGGGGAGCGAACAGG